GAUGAACGCUGGCGGCGUGCCUAAUACAUGCAAGUCGAACGCUGGAGAUCUAGCUUGCUAGAUCGAAGGAGUGGCGAACGGGUGAGUAAUACAUAAGCAACCUACCCACGAAGACUGGGAUAAUCUCUGGAAACGGGGACUAAUACCGGAUAGGUAAUCUGAAGGCAUCUUCUGGUUAUUAAAUGUUAAAAACACUGGUGGAUGGGCUUAUGGCGCAUUAGUUAGUUGGUGAGGUAACGGCCCACCAAGACGAUGAUGCGUAGCCGGCCUGAGAGGGUGAACGGCCACAUUGGGACUGAGACACGGCCCAGACUCCUACGGGAGGCAGCAGUAGGGAAUUUUCGGCAAUGGGGGCAACCCUGACCGAGCAACGCCGCGUGAGUGAAGACGGCCUUCGGGUUGUAAAGCUCUGUUGUAAGGGAAGAACGGUAGAUAGAGAAUAUCUAAGUGACGGUACCUUACCAGAAAGCAACGGCUAACUACGUG
rnacentral:rRNA from 1 species